GCUCAUGGCCACUCCACCCUGAGCACACCCAAUCUUAAUCUGAUCUCAGAAGCUAAGCAGAGUCGGGCCUGGUUAGUACUUGGAUGGGAGGCUGCCAGGGAAUACCAGCUGCUGUAAGGU
rnacentral:rRNA from 1 species